rnacentral:rRNA from 1 species
CACAUUGCCAUCACCAACAUCUACGCUCCAUCAUCAUGAUCACUCAAGCAAGCUUUCUUAAACGAACUCUCAUCUAUCGCACAACCCGAUGACACCCCCUGGAUCAUCGCUGGUGACUUCAACCUCAUCCACUUCCCCUCUGACAAAAACAACACCGCGUUUCACCACGCCGAAGCCAAUGCCUUUAACCAAACCUUAGAUGAUCUAGCUCUCAUCGAACUGCCCCUUCUUGAUCGCAGGUUCACCUGGUCGAACAAUCGAGCAAAUCCCACCCUAGAGCGGCUAGAUCGUGUCUUCUUUAACCUUGCUUGGGCAGACGCCUUCCCUAACACCUCGCUCUCCUCUCGCACACGAUUCACGUCUGAUCAUGCUCCACUUCUCAUCCACGUCACCACCACCAUCCCACACUCUAAUUUUUUUAAAUUUGAGCCUGGCUGGGCCAGCUUCCAGCCCUGUAGAGACAUCAUCAACCAAAUUUGGGCCUCACAGCCCUGUUCGCCACCCAACGCAGCCGCUUCCCGCGUUGCCGCGCUCAAAAAAUCUAGUUCCCGCCUCAAAAUAUGGGCACGAUCGCGCAUUCCCACCCCCUCCGCGAAGCUCGCUGCCAUGCUGCCAUCACCGCCUUAG